AACCUUUACACUGCACGACAGUGCGAUAGGGGGACUCCGAGUGCGGGGGCAUAGAGCCCUCGCUUUUGUACACCGUAAGGUGGUUCAGGAACAAGGACUGGGCAAGACCGGUGCCAGCCGCCGCGGUAAUACCGGCAGUUCGAGUGAUGGCCGAUUUUAUUGGGCCUAAAGCGUUCGUAGCUGGCCGAUCAAGUCUGUCGGGAAAUCUGCUCGCCUAACGAGCAGGCGUCCGGCGGAAACUGAUCGGCUUGGGACCGGAAGACUCGAGGGGUACGUCCGGGGUAGGAGUGAAAUCCUGUAAUCCUGGACGGACCACCGAUGGCGAAAGCACCUCGAGAGCACGGAUCCGACAGUGAGGAACGAAAGCUGGGGUCUCGAACCGGAUUAGAUACCCGGGUAGUCCCAGCUGUCAACGAUGCCCGCUAGGUAUGGCGCAGGCUACGAGCCUGUGCUAUGCCGUAGCGAAGGCGCUAAGCGGGCCGCCUGGGAAGUACGUUCGCAAGAAUGAAACUUAA
rnacentral:rRNA from 1 species